rnacentral:misc_RNA from 1 species
GGCUCUUGCGAGCCUGGCGAGGAUCUAUCGCAUGCAAAUAAUAGUAGGUUUACAGUAACUUUUUGUUGAUGCUAGUCAAGAUUUGACACUAAAAAUCAGACAGAGGUUUAUGGCUUAUAGGAAGACACUACAUGUUUUGUUUUGGCUGCCUUGUUAAAUUCAACUGAAGUUAACAAUGUCUUGAGUAUCUUUAAACUUAUAUAUGAGGUAAAACUAUUAAACUUUUAAGAAAGAGAAUAAUACAGGAUGUCUCUGAUUUCAUGACAAUGUGAAAUCACUGCUCAGUCCACUGACAAGUAUUUGAGGGCCUUCAAUCCAUAUUUUCUAGAUAAAUCUCGCUGAUAUUCACCUUUCAAAGUCUUAAGACAACUGUAAAAUAAGAAACAAAUACAUUUGAAUGCAGUUUUUUGAGAAAGAGAGAGGAAGGCAGAGAAUGUUGAUUUUUUUAUGUUAUAUUACCUUUAUACAUGUAAUACUACACUUUUUCUAAAUAAAUCUUGAGAAUAUC